CGUUGUCCGGAAUUAUUGGGCGUAAAGAGCUCGUAGGCGGUCUGUUACGUCUGCUGUGAAAACCCAGGGCUUAACCCUGGGCUUGCAGUGGAUACGGGCAGACUAGAGGCAGGUAGGGGAGAAUGGAAUUCCCGGUGUAGCGGUGAAAUGCGCAGAUAUCGGGAGGAACACCGGUGGCGAAGGCGGUUCUCUGGGCCUGACCUGACGCUGAGGAGCGAAAGCGUGGGGAGCGAACAGG
rnacentral:rRNA from 1 species